rnacentral:rRNA from 2 species
UAGGGAAUUUUCGGCAAUGGGGGCAACCCUGACCGAGCGACGCCGCGUGAGUGAUGAAGGUCUUAGGAUCGUAAAGCUCUGUUGUAAGGGAAGAACCGUAGUGAUAGGGAAUGAUCACUACCUGACGGUACCUUACCAGAAAGCCACGGCUAACUACGUGCCAGCAGCCGCGGUAAUACGUAGGUGGCGAGCGUUAUCCGGAAUUAUUGGGCGUAAAGGGAGCGCAGGCGGCUUAUUAAGUCUAUGGUUAAAGUUCGGGGCUCAACCCCGUGAUGCCAUAGAAACUGGUAGGCUAGAGUGCAGGAGAGGUGAGUGGAAUUCCAUGUGUAGCGGUAAAAUGCGUAGAUAUAUGGAGGAACACCAGUGGCGAAGGCGGCUCACUGGCCUGUAACUAACGCUGAGGCUCGAAAGCGUGGGGAGCAAAUAGG